rnacentral:rRNA from 1 species
CCGAAAGGCGUAGUCGAUGGGAAACAGGUUAAUAUUCCUGUACUUGGUGUUACUGCGAAGGGGGGACGGAGAAGGCUAUGUUGGCCGGGCGACGGUUGUCCCGGUUUAAGCGUGUAGGCUGGUUUUCCAGGCAAAUCCGGAAAAUCAAGGCUGAGGCGUGAUGACGAGGCACUACGGUGCUGAAGCAACAAAUGCCCUGCUUCCAGGAAAAGCCUCUAAGCAUCAGGUAACAUCAAAUCGUACCCCAAACCGACACAGGUGGUCAGGUAGAGAAUACCAAGGCGCUUGAGAGAACUCGGGUGAAGGAACUAGGCAAAAUGGUGCCGUAACUUCGGGAGAAGGCACGCUGAUAUGUAGGUGAAGUCCCUCGCGGAUGGAGCUGAAAUCAGUCGAAGAUACCAGCUGGCUGCAACUGUUUAUUAAAAACACAGCACUGUGCAAACACGAAAGUGGACGUAUACGGUGUGACGCCUGCCCGGUGCCGGAAGGUUAAUUGAUGGGGUCAGCGCAAGCGAAGCUCUUGAUCGAAGCCCCGGUAAACGGCGGCCGUAACUAUAACGGUCCUAAGGUAGCGAAAUUCCUUGUCGGGUAAGUUCCGACCUGCACGAAUGGCGUAAUGAUGGCCAGGCUGUCUCCACCCGAGACUCAGUGAAAUUGAACUCGCUGUGAAGAUGCAGUGUACCCGCGGCAAGACGGAAAGACCCCGUGAACCUUUACUAUAGCUUGACACUGAACAUUGAGCCUUGAUGUGUAGGAUAGGUGGGAGGCUUUGAAGUGUGGACGCCAGUCUGCAUGGAGCCGACCUUGAAAUACCACCCUUUAAUGUUUGAUGUUCUAACGUGGACCCGUGAUCCGGGUUGCGGACAGUGUCUGGUGGGUAGUUUGACUGGGGCGGUCUCCUCCUAAAGAGUAACGGAGGAGCACGAAGGUUGGCUAAUCCUGGUCGGACAUCAGGAGGUUAGUGCAAUGGCAUAAGCCAGCUUGACUGCGAGCGUGACGGCGCGAGCAGGUGCGAAAGCAGGUCAUAGUGAUCCGGUGGUUCUGAAUGGAAGGGCCAUCGCUCAACGGAUAAAAGGUACUCCGGGGAUAACAGGCUGAUACCGCCCAAGAGUUCAUAUCGACGGCGGUGUUUGGCACCUCGAUGUCGGCUCAUCACAUCCUGGGGCUGAAGUAGGUCCCAAGGGUAUGGCUGUUCGCCAUUUAAAGUGGUACGCGAGCUGGGUUUAGAACGUCGUGAGACAGUUCGGUCCCUAUCUGCCGUGGGCGCUGGAGAACUGAGGGGGGCUGCUCCUAGUACGAGAGGACCGGAGUGGACGCAUCACUGGUGUUCGGGUUGUCAUGCCAAUGGCACUGCCCGGUAGCUAAAUGCGGAAGAGAUAAGUGCUGAAAGCAUCUAAGCACGAAACUUGCCCCGAGAUGAGUUCUCCCUGACCCUUUAAGGGUCCUGAAGGAACGUUGAAGACGACGACGUUGAUAGGCCGGGUGUGUAAGCGCAGCGAUGCGUUGAGCUAACCGGUACUAAUGAACCGUGAGGCUUAACCUUACAACGCCGAAGGUGUUU